rnacentral:lncRNA from 1 species
UUGUUGAUCAUGUAUGGGAUUAUACAGGUUUACAGGUUAUAUGUCAGGCUUGCUACGGGUCCCGGCGGCCUUAAGCCGAUCUGGAUCCUAGCGCCGGUAGCGGUCCGAUUUUCGGGUCGUUACAGAAUGGUAUCAGAGCCCUAGGUUCAUAUGGUCGGACCUAGAGUGUCGGGCUCAUAGAUGUUAGAGAAGGUCAAACACAAUAGGAAAGAUCAUGUCCACUAGGAUAGGAUGUGGAGUCCUGUCU